rnacentral:rRNA from 1 species
UUUAUUGGAGAGUUUGAUCCUGGCUCAGGAUGAACGCUGGCGGCGUGCCUAAUACAUGCAAGUCGAGCGAAUGGAUUAAGAGCUUGCUCUUAUGAAGUUAGCGGCGGACGGGUGAGUAACACGUGGGUAACCUGCCCAUAAGACUGGGAUAACUCCGGGAAACCGGGGCUAAUACCGGAUAACAUUUUGAACUGCAUGGUUCGAAAUUGAAAGGCGGCUUCGGCUGUCACUUAUGGAUGGACCCGCGUCGCAUUAGCUAGUUGGUGAGGUAACGGCUCACCAAGGCAACGAUGCGUAGCCGACCUGAGAGGGUGAUCGGCCACACUGGGACUGAGACACGGCCCAGACUCCUACGGGAGGCAGCAGUAGGGAAUCUUCCGCAAU